GCUUGUCUCAAAGAUUAAGCCAUGCAUGUCUAUGCACAAGCCGAUUAAUGGUGAAGCCGCGAAUGGCUCAUUACAACAGCCACUGUUUACUUGAUCUUGACUAUCCUACUUGGAUAACUGUGGUAAUUCUAGAGCUAAUACACGCAAACAAGCUCCGACUUUACGGACGAGCGCAUUUAUUAGACCAAAACCAAUCGGGCUUCGGCCUGAUCACUUGGUGACUCUGAAUAACUGAGCUGAUCGCAUGGUCUUUGUACCGGCGACGCAUCUUUCAAGUGUCUGCCUUAUCAACUUUCGAUGGUAGUUUAUGUGCCUACCAUGGUUGUUACGGGUAACGGAGAAUAAGGGUUCGACUCCGGAGAGGGAGCCUGAGAAACGGCUACCACAUCCAAGGAAGGCAGCAGG
rnacentral:rRNA from 1 species